GAGAUACUAGUAAAGUAUUACACUGCUUUGUCAAGGCAGAGUCGCGGGUGGAACCCCCGCGUAUCUUA
rnacentral:tRNA from 1 species